UUGCGUAGGUCAAAAAAUAAUAAACAAAGAUGAUAUUGAUUGUGAUGACCAAGAGAUUUAUUUUAAGACACAUCAAUCUUCAUCAUCUUUAAAUAAAACGGAUAAACAUUAUGGAUUUCCAUUAUCUCAAGCAAGAAUUGUCAGAUUUCCUUCUAUUAGAAACAAAGAGUUCAUAAUAUUGGUGGUAAGAACUGUCAAAAACUUGUGAUAGCUAUGAUGAAGAGUUUUAUGACAAAUUAACUCAUGGCCAAAUCUAAUAUGGCAGCUGGAAAAGGCUAAG
rnacentral:lncRNA from 1 species